GACGAACGCUGGCGGCGUGCUUAACACAUGCAAGUCGAACGGUAAGGCCCUUGGGGGUACACGAGUGGCGAACGGGUGAGUAACACGUGGGUGAUCUGCCCUGCACUUCGGGAUAAGCCUGGGAAACUGGGUCUAAUACCGGAUAGGACCACUGCCUGCAUGGGUGGUGGUGGAAAGCUUUUGCGGUGUGGGAUGGGCCCGCGGCCUAUCAGCUUGUUGGUGGGGUGAUGGCCUACCAAGGCGACGACGGGUAGCCGGCCUGGGAGGGUGACCGGCCACCCUGGGGCGGAGAUACGGCCCAGACUCCUACGGGAGGCAGCAGUGGGGAAUAUUGCACAAUGGGCGCAAGCCUGAUGCAGCGACGCCGCGUGAGGGAUGACGGCCUUCGGGUUGUAAACCUCUUUCAGCACCGACGAAGCGCAAGUGACGGUAGGUGCAGAAGAAGGACCGGCCAACUACGUGCCAGCAGCCGCCGUAAGAC
rnacentral:rRNA from 1 species